CAGCGCCACGAGUGGGAGCCGUAAUUAUUGGGCCUAAAGCGUCCGUAGCCGGUUUGAUACAUUUUUUGUGAAAUUAUAGGGCUUAACUCUAUAGCGUGCAAGAAAGACUGGCAAACUUGGAACCGGGAGGAGUUAGAAGUAUUCAAGGGGUAGCGGUAAAAUGUUCUGAUCCUUUGAAGACUACCUGUGGCGAAGGCGUCUAACUAGAACGGAUUCGACGGUGAGGGACGAAAGCCAGGGGAGCAAAACGGAUUAGAUACCCGAGUAGUCC
rnacentral:rRNA from 1 species